UGGUGCGGUCAUACCAGGGCUACUACACCGGAUCCCAUCAGAAGUUAAGCGCCCUUGGGCCGGAUCAGUACUGGGAUGGGUGACCUCCCGGGAAGUCCUGGUGCUGCACCCUUUAAUCGGAAUUCCCGCGGCCGCCA
rnacentral:rRNA from 1 species